rnacentral:tRNA from 1 species
GCCCGAGUAGCUCAGGGGUAGAGCACCUCCUUGGUAAGGAGGGGGUCACGAGUUCAAAUCUCGUCUCGGGCUCCA